CCCUACGGGGUGCACCAGGCGCGCAAACUUUACAAUGCGAGCAAUCGUGAUAAGGAAACCCUGAGUGCCUGUCGAUGCAGUCUGUUCAUAUAUCUAAAUGAUAUGGAAGAAAGACAGGGCAAGACCG
rnacentral:rRNA from 1 species